AAGACCCCUAAGCAAGCGGCACCAUGAAGACCAAGGAGCUCUCCAAACAGUCCCAUACAGGUGGCAAACUCUCCAGGCAGUCGAGUGCAAAUCGUCUCAACCCACAGGACAAGAGUGAGACCCGCCCAACCUCUUCCCCAGUGGGGCCAGCUCCCAAACCAGCGGCCGGUCCAAGGAAGGCAGAGGCCCACAAAGACCUAGCAACGAUUUCACUGUAACGCACCUGAUUCCUGUUGUUCAAACUAUCCCUGUUGCGUCUCUACUGACCUCUUAGGUUACCUGUCGUUUCUGUUAUGCUUAGUUACAUACUUUGUCUGCAUUUUCCAUAUCAAACUCACUGACAGUCUGAGUCGUUUCAAAAUACACAUUAAAAAGUAGAUGGGGAAACUCAAAGGGAGUGUUCAUCUCUCUUAUUUAUUCCGUUGGGCAUAAUUCAUGAUUUAUUAGUGGUUCACUGGGUUGUGUAGCUGUUAGUGUUUUCUAUGCACUGUAAAAGUAUACUUUUCUAUUUCUUUCAGUAUCCUAACGGGCAAAUUUGGUAUGAAAGAUCUUCAAAGUGCUUUGUUUUCCCCCACAAAUGUCAUUAACAUAAAACUAGUCCAACAUUCAUUAGUAGUCAGUGGCGACCAGGGGUGCAAGCUUGUCUGCUGUUUAUUAUUUUCAUUGAGCUGUUCUUAGGAUGAUUUAAGAAUGCUUGCCAAGCAUUAUGAGAAGGAACUAAUGUACAGAAACUCCAUUAUUUUGUGUUCAAUAAACAUAA
ensembl:lncRNA